rnacentral:ribozyme from 1 species
AGCAAUACCUCGCUGAUACGGGAGUGGAUCCAAAGCCUCUAAAAGGUUAACAUAGACUCUCCACCUCCUAAUCCUACUCAAUACGUUCCCGUCGUACAGAACGGUAACAUGUCUCUCAAUUAUCCAAGCUUGGGUAUACGUGGAAACCCAACCCCUUGUUGGGCGGAUGGGUUGCAUGGCUAAAUUGAGAGGA